AUUGAACGCUGGCGGCAGGCCUAACACAUGCAAGUCGAGCGGAGCGGCGGACGGGCGAGUAAUGCCUAGGAAUCUGCCUGGUCGUCGGUGAUAACGUCCGGAAACGGGCGCUAAUACCGCAUACUAUCAGAUGAGCCUAGGUCGGAUUAGCUAGUUGGUGGGGUAAAGGCCUACCAAGGCGACGAUCCGUAACUGGUCUGAGAGGAUGAUCAGUCACACUGAAACAGAGACACGGACCAGAGUCCUACGGGAGGCAGCGGUGGGGAAUAGUGGGCAAUGGGAGAAAGCCUGAUCCAGCCAUGCCGCGGAGGUGAAGAAGGUCUUCGGAUUUUAAGGCAGUUAAAGUUGGGAGGCGUUACCAGCAGAAGAAGCACCGGCUAACUUCGUGCCAGCAGCCGCGGUAAUAC
rnacentral:rRNA from 1 species